GCAAUAGCGCAGCUGGUAGCGCGCUUGGUUCGGGACCAAGAGGUCGUGGGUUCAAAUCCCGCUUGC
rnacentral:tRNA from 1 species